UCAGGAUGAACGCUGGCGGCGUGCUUAACACAUGCAAGUCGAACGCUGAAGCUCCCAGCUUGGCUGGGGGUGGAGUGAGUGGCGAACGGGUGAGUAUCACGUGAGUAACCUGCCCUUGACUCUGGGAUAAGCCCGGGAAACUGGGUCUAAUACUGGAUAGGACUGGCCAUCGCAUGGUGGUUGGUUGAAAGCUUUUGCGGUUUUGGAUGGACUCGCGGCCUAUCAGCUUGUUGGUGGGGUAAUGGCCUACCAAGGCUUUGACGGGUAGCCGGCCUGAGAGGGUGACCGGCCACACUGGGACUGAGACACGGCCCAGACUCCUACGGGAGGCAGCAGUGGGGGAUAUUGCACAAUGGGCGCAAGCCUGAAUGCAGCGACGCCGCGUGAGGGAUGACGGCCUUCGGGUUGUAAACCUCUUUCAGUUGGGAAGAAGCCUUUCGGGGUGACGGUACCUUCAGAAGAAGCACCGGCUAACUACGUGCCAGCCGCUGC
rnacentral:rRNA from 1 species